rnacentral:rRNA from 1 species
ACGCGAAGAACCUUACCCAGGCUUGAACAGCGAGUGACCAUCUCCGAAAGGGGACUUCCGCAAGGACACUCGUAGAGGUGCUGCAUGGCUGUCGUCAGCUCGUGUCGUGAGAUGUUGGGUUAAGUCCCGCAACGAGCGCAACCCUUGUCUGCUGUUGCCAUCAGGUUAAGCUGGGCACUCUGCAGAGACUGCCGGUGAUAAACCGGAGGAAGGUGGGGAUGACGUCAAGUCAGCAUGGCCUUUAUGUCUGGGGCUACACACGUGCUACAAUGGCCGGUACAAACCGUUGCAAAACCGUAAGGUCGAGCUAAUCGGAGAAAGCCGGUCUCAGUUCGGAUAGCAGGCUGCAACUCGCCUGCUUGAAGUUGGAAUCGCUAGUAAUCGCGGAUCAGCACGCCGCGGUGAAUACGUUCCCGGGCCUUGUA